AAAUGACUGGAAUUAGAAUGUCUUCUUUUCUCCUGGGCAGCCAUGCUACUUUAAUGUCUUGGUAAUAAAACAGAAAACUGGGCCAUAUUCUGAAAGGAAGAAAGGAGGCAGUGAUAUUCACAUGUUGGCGUAAUUACUGAGAUGUUUGUUAAAAAAAAAAACAGAUUUUGAUUUUCUAGAUCAAAGUGAGGACGCAGGAAACAUACACUUUAAAUAAAUUCUACAGAAAAUUUUCAAGUUCACUAACCAGAUGUGGAACUUCGGGUACUCUAAACUCUUGGUUCCUCACCUCCCUUUCCUGUAAAGUGAGGUUAAUAAUGCUUAUCUCAGAGCAUUGUUCUGAUAAUCACUUAUUGCCAUACCAGCCCCCAGCCUGGAUUAUUGUUUAUGCAACCUCUAUCCCUUAUCCUUACCCCACUGUAAGAAAUCAUUGAAAUUUUUAUGUGUCUAUAUCUCCAAACACCAUAGGAUCAUCAUCACAACUCUUUAUCUUUGCAAACCAGACCUUGACGUAUAGCAGGUGCUAAGUGUUUCUGAAAUGACUUAGUGAGGGAAUGAAUGAUACACAUUUCAGUGCUAACAAUACUACCCCAGAAAAAGGGAUUAUUAGUAUGGUGUUCCUUAAUGCUGUAGCAUGAAGACCAAGAUUCUCAGUUUUGUCUAGAGCAGGAAUUCCUCAUUUUCUCUCUUUAGGUUUUAUAUGUGUGUGUGUGUAUAUGUAUGUAUGUGUGUAUAUAUAUACACAUAUAUAUAAAAUCCUCCUUUGAAAAUCCGAUGAAAGCUACGUAAACUAAGCCUCUUUAAAAAUGCAUACAAAUAAAAUCACACAAUUUUACAAUUUCAGAAGCUCCAGGAAAGGAGAACACUGAUUUCUACUCUUCAAGCAUUUUUACUUAAAAAUAAAGCUAAAACAGUAAAUAUAUUAUUUGAGAAAUUAACUUCAAGCUUUUGAAAGACUAUGGUCAAAGUGGGGUUAGUUGGGAGACUUAAAAAAAAUAAACUUGGCUGGGCGCAGUGGCUCAUGCCUGUAAUCCCAGCACUUUGGGAGGCCAAAGCGGGUGGAUCACGAGGUCAGGAGUUCAAGACCAGCCUGACCGACAUGAUGAAACCAUGUUGGUCAUCUACUAGGUUUAGUCUCUACUAAAAAUAUAAAAACUAGCUGGGCAUGGUGGUCCAUGCCUGUAAUCCCAGCUACUCAGGAGACUGAGGCAGGAGAAUCGCUUGAACCAGGGAGGCAGAGGUUGCAGUGAGCUGAGAUCGUGCCACUGCACUCCAGCCUGGGUGACAGAAUGAGACUCCGUCUCAAACAAACAAACAAAUAAACAAACAAACUUCUAUGACAUUUUGCUAACAAUAGUACAAGUAGGAGUCACAUUUCUGGCAAACCAACAUGCGUUUUUUUAUGCAAGCUCCAGUUGUGCCAUUUGACUGCACUCAAAUGUAUUUUUUCCCUUUUAAUUCUAAUAAUAAGGGUUUCCUGCAUCUCUAUAUAUUAUGAUAAAACACUUCAUGGGGGAAAGGAGUAUCAUUUAUUCAUUAAAUAACAUUUAGGUCCUAGGUAUACAGUGUUGAAACCAAUAGAUUUGUUUCUUAGUAGGGAAGAUAAGCUACAAAUUCCAACAUUCUUGACCGUCAGUCCUAACUGCUGAGAGACACCUUAGUUACAGUGGUGUGCUGGAUUCUGUUCGUACCAGCUUGCAAGAGCUGUGUGUAUCACUUCUCAACUCAUCAGUGGCUUCACAUUAGUAGUGUGAAACUGGCCGUACUGGAGCACUUGUACCACGUAAAUUAGCAAACAUUACAAAUCAAGGCUCUGCCAUGCCCAGUGAUUGGCAGUCACUUACCACCAUACAAUGUCCUCAUUAUACUAAAACUGUGGCUCUCUCAUUACAGAGCUCCUAGGUGGUAAUUCAGGUAAGGAGGGCUUAGAUCAACCUUUCAAAUCCUCUCUCCACCACCACCAGAAGACCCAAAAGUACAGGUGUAUUCUAGGAGACUUUGGGGUAUGGUCCUCUUUGGAUAGUAGGAGAAUGCAAUAUCUGAUCAGUUUGAGACAAGUCUUUCCCUAUGUGGUUAAGAAGAGUCACAAAGUGCCCAAAGAAAAAUCAUGCAACUCCGAGUUUAUCAGUUAGUUUAAAUUAUAUUCUGAGAAUACUAGAGUUGGUUUAUCAUUAAUUACUGUUUAGUUUGAUGCAUGAUUAACCUUAAGCAGAUAUUUUCUGGCACCAUUUUGGUACUAUUGUCAGAGUUUUGGCUUUAAAGGAUUGCCACAAAUUUGAAUGGAUCUGCCAAAGAGAAAAUAGCUUUGUCAACAAUGUAAGCGAUAUGCAGAGAAAGCACUAUCAAUCUUCUGAAGUAAGACUUAGGGAUACUACAGAGCAGGGCAAUGUGAAGAAUCUGGUACACGAGAUAAUAAAACUCUCUCAACCCUAGCCUUCAGUGGUCUUGCACUACCAGCCAGAAAAUAAGACUACUCAGUUUCACAAGUGGUUGGUAUGGUAGUAGUAGAUGUCACAAAAACUUGUUGAAAACAUCUAGGCUGGCAUAAAAUACAUGAGGACCAAAGGUGAAAUGCAAGUAAGAAAAGAAGACAAUAGAGAGUCUACAGACAUGCCUGAUUGUCCAUGGCUGACACUUACCUUCAGGUUAUGGAGGGUUUCUGACCAUUCUGUGGACCCUAUCUGAGGUAUGGUAGUGAGCAGUAAGCUUUUGGCUUUAUUAGCGUUUUCUUUCAGGGUCUUUAAGACCCGGUCCACCGAAACCUAGAGAAACAAUAGCACUGGAGGUUACUAGAACUUAAAAUUCCACUGCUUGUCAUAAAACAUUUUUCUGAGCUCCAGCCUUGCUACAGCCUAAAUGUUUGUGUCCCCUCAAAUUUAUCUGCUGAAACCGAAUCCUCAAUGUAGGGUAUUUGGAGGUUGGGCAUUUGGGAGGCAAUUAGGUCAUGAAGGCAGAGUCCUCGUGGAUAGGAUUAGUGAUCUUACAAAAGAGGCCCCAGUGCUAUUCUUCGAGGGCCCCUUCCACCGUGUGAGGUUCCAGUGAGAAGAUGGCUGUCUACCAGAAAGUGGGCUCUCACUAGACACCAAAUGUGCCAGUCCCUUGAUCUUGGACUUCUCAACUUACAGAAAUGUGAAAAAUAAACUUGUUAUUCAGAAGCCACCCAUGCUAUGGUAUUUUGUUACAACAGUCCAGACAGACUAAGAAAAACCUGACUUGUGAAGUCUGUUUAUUCUACGUUUAAACCCCUGAGUUCAAGCUCGGCAUUUAUCAAGAUGGUCUUAGUCCUAGCACGGAGGUCCUAGAGAAACUCAGUGACAUCUCUGAAAAGCACUGAUGAAUUCUGGUAUGGUUUGGAUUUGUGUCCUCACCAAAUCUCAUGUCGAAUUGUGGGAGGUGGGGCCUGGUGGGAGGCGGUUGGAUCAUGGGGUUGGAUUUCUCACGAAUGGUUUAGCAGCAUCCUCAGGUGCUGUUUUACUGAUAGUGAGUUCUUGUGAGAUCUGAUUGUUUAAAAGUGUACAGCACCUCUCCUCUCACUCUCUCUUGCUCCUGCUCCCACCAUGUGAGAUGCCUCGCUCCUUUUGCCUUCCAACAUGAUUGGAAGUUUCCUGAGGCCUCCCCAGAAGCUGAGCAGAUGCCAGCAUCACGUCCCGUACAGCCUGUAGAACCAUAAGCCAAUUAAACCUCUUUUCUUUAUAAAUUACCCAGUUUUAGGUAUUUCUCCAUAGCAAUGUGAUAACAGACUAAUACAGAUUUCAAUAUGGUAUCGGAGAAAAUAUCUCAGAUGUAUAAUGGGUUAAUAUGGUCUAGAAAGAUGUGGCUGUUCUCUUCAUGUCCACAGCCGAAGGGAUUACAAUGUUAAAACUGUUGCUACACUGGAAAACCAAACAGGUACGUUUCUCCUUAGAAAAUUAUUCCAGCUACUAAAGAAAAAUAUUAUGGAAUUAAAAUACCACCAUUUUUAUGGCUCCCAGUGAAUUAAUGGAUUGGCUGCUAACAUCACAAACCGAACCAAACAAAAUCCCAAAUAAACCACUCAUUAUGUGCUUCCUGAUGAAAAAAUAAAAUGCUACCUUAAGACACCUGAAUCUGAUUAAAUUUCUAAAUCUAGCUACCAAUUUAUAGACAAUACAGAGGACAGAGAAGCCUAUUAAACUACUCCAAGGAGAUGAUUUCAGCAAUUCAGACUGUGGGAAACUCAACAGGACAAAUGAUCUGGUUCCUUCAUAAAAAGCUUGCAACCAAAAGAAUAAUUUAAGGCAUUUAACCAGAAAUUUAAAUUCUGGCUGGGUAUAUUAAAGAAUUAUUAUUGGAGAAUGAAAAUGAUAAUGUGCUCAUGUUAGAUACCUCCUGAAGUGUUUAUGGAUAAAAUUAUUGAUGGGAGUAAUAAUCAUAUUGGUUGUAAGUUAAUAUAAUGGUUGAAGCUAGAUGCUGAAUUCAUGGAAGCUCGUGCUAUUAGCUACUUCUGUAUAUGACUAAAAUAGCUUCAUAAGAAAAAGUUGAAGAAAGUGAACACAAAAUUACCAUCAGAGAUAGAGUACUUGACAUGCCUUCCUAUGCUUCGAAGAAAUCCAGCAUUCAGGGACACAAGGAUUACAUCUUUCUAUUUCCUUAAGCAUAGUCCAGAUCCCACCCACAAACACCAAGAUGUGUAUAGGAAAAAAUGAUGAACACUGUAGCAGAGGGGAGUUUGCACUACUAUGGGAACACAAAGCAGUGACAGGCUGGGUAUCUGCCAGGCACAUGUAAAUGAUAUGUUUUAAGCUGAGUCUUUGAAUGCAGACAUGAAGCAUCCAAGAAAUUUGCCUUGUAUUUACUCAUUUCCUUAUAUAUUUUUCCUGUGACUGGUUAUUUCUGUAUAGACACUGACCUCCCUUCUCUUUGUUCCAGCUGUUGGGCUUCACCCAAAAUGUCCUUCCUACUGACCUUCCCAAAAUAAACCCUCUCUUCAAGGUGCAGUUUAAAUGCUUUUCCCUGAUACUACCCACCUCUCAGGCCCCCCACUCCAUCAGAGCCACCAUCUGAUGACCACCCUCUUACAAGCCAGCAUUAUACUAGCUUUUUUACAUAUCUCAUUUGGUUUAAUUCUUCCAGUAAUCUUUCAAGGUCUAACUGACUAAACAAUGACUAAACAACCUCCACUCCUCACCCAGAGCCCUGGCUUCAUUCUACAGAAGAGUAAACAAGUGAAAUAACUCGCCCAAUGUGACAAGCAAAUGGAGCAACUCAAAUCUGAAGAUGGGUUUAGAGAACUCCAAAUCCUUUUUGCCAUGCCAGGCUGCAACACACGAUUGGCUGAAAUAAUGCCAUCUUUCUGUGGGCCUUCCUUGUAGCAUUUAACACUGUCUUCAAGCCUUUCCACUUACAGAGCUUAAUUUCUCUGCUUUUCAAUAAAGUAGCUCCAGCUGACUAUUUCCCCAACCUCAUUUGGCUACUAAAGGAAAUCACUGCUGGUUCUACAAAGGAGGAGACAUAUGUUAUUAGACUGAGCAGAAAGCCACAGGCAGGAAGCAAACCGCUCUCAGGGUGUGGCAGGGGCUGGAGUUUCCUAUUAAUUGGAAGCAGCUUCUUGACAUUACGAGGCUGAGUUGUUCCUUAGGUUACCAAAGCUGCCAAAUAAGAUAUUAUGUUGUGACUUAAUGUAAUAAUUUGCGAAUCUCUUACAUAAAAGGCAUCCUAGUACUAAGCAAACAGUUUAUUACACUGAAGAGUCAUCAUAAGGAAUUCAUGAAAAACAAAGAACCUGUGUUCAUCUAUGACCCAAAACACUGUACACAUUAGAUAGUAAAACAAACUCUCUAAAACGGUGGUACAAUAUUAGGCCUCUUUGGAGAUGUCACUUACCCUAAAUGUGCUCAGAAAGUCACCCCUAAAUGUUUUCCUUACUUCAAAAGUGACUGCAGUUUUGUCGUCCCUUUAUCUUAAAAUGAGAUAAAUGACAGGACGAACGAUCUAGUUUAUUCAAGUAACACAAGGAAUAAAAAGAGAAAGAGGUGAAAAUUAGAUUAAAAGAGACAAGAGGUAAUCAUUAAAAUACAACAUAUGGAUUGUAAGGGAUUCUGAUUUGAUCAAAUUGUUAAAAAUUAUGAGACUGAAGGAAAAAGGAAUAGUCUGAAUAUUUGAUUAUAUUAAGAAAUUAAUAUCAUUAUUUUUGUACAAUGAUGGCAUGGUUAUAACUUAAUUUUAAAAAGACCUUUUAGGAAAAUAUUUACUUCACAAUGAGGGCAGGGGAGAAAUAGGUAGGGACAUACCUAUCACACAAGAUUGGCCAUGGCUAAUUGUGGAACCUAAGUGAUGGGUACCUGGAAUUCAUUAUAUUCCACCCUGUACUUACACAGAUGUUUAAAGUUUUGUUUUGUUUUGUUUUGGAAGCUGACCUCAUUGUUCCAGUGUCCUCAAAUUCCAGCUGGAUCCUGCUGCCUUCCCUGCCUGAACCCCUCACUGUCCUUCCAUCUGAAACCCUUACCAUGGUCUGUAUGGCCUGGCCCUACUGUAUUGCAUCCCUCCUCUCUCUCCCUUCUCCCCAGUCUCCCUCCUUUCCACUCUACUCAAUCAUGCCCUUCUUGCCCAUCACACUUAAAACAGGAAGGCUUCUCAUACUUCAAAUAUUUGGUCUGGUCAACUCUAUUCAGUUGACCUAGUGUACCCUUGUACCUCACCAUUCUAUUUCUUUAUAACCGUUAGCUUUCUUAUAUUGGUUUGCUUAACUUCUAUCUCCAUCCGACAGAAUGUCGGCUCCUUAAGGACUUCUCUGUUUGUUGUCACAUUUCUAUGCUGAACAGAGUAUCCAGCCACGGUACGUUAAAUAGAUGGAUGUGAACAUACAGCCCUCUCAUGAGGAAAGGGUUAAUAGAUUUUUUUCCUUCUUGAAAACAAAAAACAGUAGCAUAGCAGCAGAAAUUGGCAAUCAAAAUACACCUUUAUCCUGAAAAUAAGGCCCAAGUCUUAGUAUGAUUCUCAACACAUCUACCUGCCUACAAUGUACUAUUUUCACUACUGAUCCUUGGGUAAAAGUGUCUCUUUCUUUCCUUUGAUCUUUGUUCUUACCUUCCAAUGGAACUACAGAAAAUAUUAACAACUUCAAAACCUUGUAGAAAGGCACUUUCUGAAACUAACGUAAUAGAAACAAACAGUUAAGACACCCUAUUGGCACCCAGAAACCCAUGCUAUAUGUGCUUAGAAAAGAAUUCCACCUACUGCUUCCUCGUGCUCCUUCCAGCAGUCAUAAUCUGUCGCCAUGGCGAUACUUGCGUAACAAAUUCCAGCCUCCUUAGCAAGAACCA
rnacentral:lncRNA from 1 species